rnacentral:rRNA from 1 species
CGCAAGUUGCGCCCGAGGCCUUUGGGUCGAGGGCACGCCUGCCUGGGCGUCACGC